rnacentral:rRNA from 1 species
UACGGAGGGGGCGAGCGUUAUUCGGAAUUAUUGGGCGUAAAGGGCGCGUAGGCGGCUCUGUAAGUCAAAGGUGAAAUCCCUCGGCUCAACUGAGGAACUGCCUUUGAAACUGCAGGGCUUGAGGCCGGGAGGGGGUAGCGGAAUUCCCAAUGUAGCGGUGAAAUGCGUAGAUAUUGGGAGGAACACCAGUGGCGAAGGCGGCUACCUGGACCGGUUCUGACGCUGAGGCGCGAAAGCGUGGGUAGCAAACAGG